UACGUAGGGAGCUAGCGUUGUCCGGAAUCAUUGGGCGUAAAGCGCGUGUAGGUGGCCAUGUAGGUCCGCUGUGAAAACUCGAGGCUCAACCUCGAGCUGUCGGUGGAAACCACAUGGCUAGAGUCCGGAAGAGGAGAGUGGAAUUCCUGGUGUAGCGGUGAAAUGCGCAGAUAUCAGGAAGAACACCAAUGGCGAAGGCAGCUCUCUGGGACGGUACUGACACUGAGACGCGAAAGCGUGGGGAGCGAACAGG
rnacentral:rRNA from 1 species